CCCCUUCCCAUGAAGGAUAUGAAGCCAGC
rnacentral:piRNA from 1 species